AACGAACGCUGGCGGCAUGCCUAACACAUGCAAGUCGAACGAGACCUUCGGGUCUAGUGGCGCACGGGUGCGUAACGCGUGGGAAUCUGCCCGUAGGUUCGGAAUAACAGUUAGAAAUGACUGAUAAUACCGGAUAAUGACUUCGGUCCAAAGAUUUAUCGCCUAAGGAUGAGCCCGCGUAGGAUUAGCUUGUUGGUGAGGCAAAAGCUCACCAAGGCGACGAUCCUUAGCUGGUCUGAGAGGAUGAUCAGCCACACUGGGACUGAGACACGGCCCAGAAGCUUACGGUAGGCAGCAGUGGGGAAUAUUGGACAAUGGGCGAAGCCCUGAUCCAGCCAUGCCGCGUGAGUUAUGAAGGCCUUAGGGUUGUAAAUCUCUUUUACCCGUGAUGAUGAUGACAGUACCGGGAGAAUAAGCUCCGGCUAACUCCGUGCCAGCCGCCGCCGUAAAAC
rnacentral:rRNA from 1 species